CAGAGUCCCUGUCAUGACUACAUGAGGAGGUGGAAUGUCCGUGUGGAGGCUGCAUGUGACCCUCCUUUUUGUAAGCAGCUGCAAAUAUGGAAGAAGUGUUCUUGGACUGUAUUUCCAUGGAGAUCUCCUUUUUCUUUUGAUUUUGUUUUCUCCUGUUCCUCAUGUCAUUUUUGGCAGAUAAGAAGUUUUUGCACUUUAGACAUCACCUAAUCAGCAGUGUUGCUUUAGGUCUGGAUGUGGAGGCUGUGACCUACCAAGGUUGAACUUUUUAGGAGGCGGAGGACUAGUAGUGCCAGAGCUCCCAUUGCAGGAGGCAAGAAGCAAGAGCAGCCAGCAUGAGGGG